rnacentral:rRNA from 1 species
UACGAAGGGGGCUAGCGUUGUUCGGAAUCACUGGGCGUAAAGCGCACGUAGGCGGCUUUCUAAGUCAGGGGUGAAAUCCUGGAGCUCAACCCCAGAACUGCCUUUGAUACUGGAGAGCUUGAGUCCGGGAGAGGUGAGUGGAACUCCGAGUGUAGAGGUGAAAUUCGUAGAUAUUCGGAAGAACACCAGUGGCGAAGGCGGCUCACUGGCCCGGUACUGACGCUGAUGUGCGAAAGCGUGGGGAGCAAACAGG